UACGGAGGGUGCGAGCGUUAAUCGGAAUCACUGGGCGUAAAGGGCGCGUAGGCGGCCUGGUAAGUCAGGGGUGAAAUCCCACGGCUCAACCGUGGAAUUGCCUUUGAAACUGCUGGGCUUGGAUCCUGGAGAGGGUGGCGGAAUUCCUGGUGUAGGAGUGAAAUCCGUAGAUAUCAGGAGGAACACCGGUGGCGAAGGCGGCCACCUGGACAGGUAUCGACGCUGAGGCGCGAAAGUGUGGGGAGCAAACAGG
rnacentral:rRNA from 1 species